rnacentral:lncRNA from 1 species
CCGAACUGGGGAGUCACAGCUCAAUGUGGGCAGAGGCGGUCGGAGCUCAUGCCAGGACGAGGCCCAAUAUAGCAGCCUCAGAGCUGGCCCUGAAGUCGGCCUGUCAUUACCCAGGGGUCUCACUAUGUGACCCAGGCUGGGCUCAAACUCAUGGUAAUCCUCCUGCCUCCGCCUCCUGAGUGCUGAGAUUACAGUAACGGUGAUGCUGCUGCCAAGCACUGGAGGCCACGUUCCCGUGUUCCUGGCCUCUUUGGCUCUAACACCGUAGCCCUGAGCAAGUGAGUCACCUCCGUGAGGACCAUGUGCAGAGCCUGUCCCUGUCGCCGGAGCCAGGGUUCACUCGGAACUUGAACAAGCCCUGUCCCCUCACGUGACGCCAUCCAGGCAAGCCAGCAGGGCCAAGUGCCCCAAGGGGACUUCACACCCAACAGCAGCCUCCCCUUGCCCCCAGGCCCCGU